CCCAUUUUCCCAGCCUCUGAAUGCAGCCCCCACCCCCUUUCUUCCUAAACCUAACGCUGAAACGGAAUCAGACAGGGAGAGAGGGAGGAAAUCAGAGUGUCAUCUAAGCAGCCACCGUUCAAUCGCCAGAGCCACCACCGGGGGUCCUUCGCCGUCAUUGUCGUCAACAUCCACCCGAGUUCCAGCGCUACGAAGUCCAGCCAUCGUGACCUUCGUGGAGCCCGCGUCGCUGUCGCCUCGGCUGUUCCCACCGCCGCUGGAUCCGUCGCACGUUGUCGUCUGAGGAGCCACCGCCGCCGUUGCUUGUUGUCUCCCUUAGGGCCGUCACCGUCGCUGGAGCCAGCCGCCUCCGUCGCUGUUCAUCCUUGUCGUCAUCAUCGCCAUUCUGUGGAGGCCGCAGAGAGGAACGCGAACCAGGAGCCAUAGCGCCGCCGCCGUCGAUCUGUCACCGUGCUGCUGCGUCGCCGUUGAUGAAGUUUCUGCCACCGCCGUGAACUGCGAAUAGAGGAGAGUUACUGCGUCGCCGUUAAUGAAACUUCUGCCACCGUCAUGAACUACGAAUAGAGGAGAGGAAAAGAGAUGAGUUCGCAAGGGAGAAGAGGAAGCAGCGCUGCCCUUCGUCGCCGCUGCUGCUAAGGUUUGUGGAAGAGAGUGUCGUCGUCGCCGUGAGUGGAGUCCACCGUCCGAGCCGCCACUAGAGAGCGCCGCUGCUACCAUGUGUACAGAGAAGAGGAGAGCCGCGAGAAUCAAGGGAAGAAGAUGUUGUUCUGCCUCUGCUUCUGGGUUUUGGAAUCUGACAUAAGCGCCACUGCCGCUGUUAGAGUUUAUGUUGCUCUGGCCUUGCUCUGGCUCUAAUCUGAAUUGUUACUGUUGCUGUUUGGCUGAUGCUGAGGCCUUCCAUCAUCAUUGGAGCUUCCCAGAAUCAUCGUGGUUGCUGCCAAGAGAGCUGAAUGGGUGCUGGAAAUUGCUAACGGAGCUGCUGUGCUUGGCAAUUUUCGUGAGUUUCGACAUUGAGGUAGGGGAUUUAUUUUUAAAGUUAAACAUUUUUAAUUUAGAAUACCUACAAAGUUAUUGGAUAAGUGCAAAUGGUUAACACUGGUUAAGAAUUUCUUAAUUAACAUGAAUGACUUGAAAUGCAUUUGAAAUUAGUUAGUCGUUCUGAUUAUUCUGAGCUGUGAUUGAACUUAGAUGCUAUUGUGAAUAACGAUUAAUCUAGUGUAACUUAUUAAAUUGAAAUAUGCCGAGUUAAUUGUUGAACAGCUGUUGAAUGGAUAAUUGAUGAAUUGAGUUUGGAUUGCUGCUGUGAAUGUAAUUGGUUUUGUUGUUAUGAGAGACUAAUUGAUAGAAAUAAGCUUGGUUUGAGGUUGUGAAAUUUGGAUGAAAUUUGAUGAUGUUUUAGUGUUCCAGUUGGAUUAUUGAAUUCAGGUUAUGGCUGUGAAUGUCUUUGGGCUUUGUUGUUAGUGUUUGAAGCUGUAAUUAAUAUUGUUUUCUCUAAUAUUGAUGGAAUUGUUGCAAAGUUCUAACUCUAUGUAAUUAUACUGAAUUAGUUGAGUUGUGUGGCUAAAAAUUAUGAUUGGAAUGAUUGAGAUUUUUUAUUGGAACUUUGGUUGAAUUCGUUGAUUUUGUGAAAUUGAAUUAUAAAUUGUUUGAUGAGAGAUUAUUGUGAUUUCGGUAUUUUGAUGGGUCAAGUUGAAAUUGUUGCUGUUGAGUUGGUUUACUGUAAUGGACUUAGUUAGUGAUUAAUUGAAGUUGGGCUUAAGGAAUAAUUGGAAGACUGAAUCUUAAAAUGUUGAAUUAAUUGCUGAAAAUCUGAUUUUUGAAAUUAAAAGAUGACUUUAGAAGUGAAUCAGUUAUUCAACGAUAAUCGAAAUGAUAUGAGAGUAAAGGCUGAUUAAACUAUAAUAAAAGUUGUUGCUGGGAUUCAAUUUUGAGAAGUUUGAAUUAACUAUAGAACUAGUUAUGAUUUUUCAAAGUUAAAAUGUAAAACUUGAUUUUCUGCAUUACUUUUAAAUGAAGCCGGAGACUUUGAAAAUCUAUAACUAAUUCUAUGAUGUUCGGAAUUGCAUGGGACUAAGUCUAGAUUAAGCUUGGGAAUAUAGGAAGCUGGACUGGUAAAUUUAAGACUUUUUCAUUAAGUUUAUGAUUUAUGGUGAAUUUUUGGAUUAUGAAUGUCAAAUCUGGUUUUCUGCAGAAAGCUUAACACAGCAGCAACUUGUUCCCUCUAUUAAAUAUUCUCCAGUUUGAAUUUUGAAAUCGAACCAAUUUUAAAUGAAACUCUGGUCCUAGUACUUUAAUUUCAUAAAAAGUUAGAAUUUUUAGAGUUGUGGUUUUAAAGAUAUGGAUUUUUAAAGUAAGAUGUAUUAUGCAGUAAAAAUCAGGUUUUGUUUUCUAAGUUAGUAACUUUCAGACUUUAUAAUUUUUAAUUCUGGAAUGAUAUUGAGAUGAAAUUAAUUGGAGGUGAAAUUUGAGUAUGUUUAGUAUAUAUGAUUUAAAUUUCAGGUUUUUCCAUGUUUUAGUAAGUUAGUUAUGGGACUUGGAAGAGGUUGUGUUCAAUGAUUUGUAAAACAGACUUCAGCAGAAAAUUACCUAACUUCCAAGCUACGUAACUCCUCCAUUAAAAAUGGUAUGACCCUGGAACCAAUUGAGAAAGAAAUUUGGAUAAAUUAUGUUUAACAACAUUAAUUUUGAAGGUGGUUGGAUUUAAUUUGGAUUUUAUAUAAAAUUUUGAAUGUUGUACACUGCUGCUGUCUUCUGGUUUUAAGGCACUACAGAGCAGUCACGGUUUUGCUUAUAUUCCUGAAGCUAGAGUCCGUGAAAAAUUGUGAUUUUUGUUUAAUAGAAAGCUUAAUUCGAGACGGUCGCAUGGCUAUAAGGUUUGCAUAAUUCCGAAAUCGUUUGAUAUUUUAAAAAUAAAACUGAAAUUAGAUUGCCGAUGUUGUUUUGGUGAUUACUUGGAUAUGGAAUUUGAGAAAUAGAUUUUCUAUACUAUUAUCAAAUGUUUUUGAGAAUAUAUUAUUGUGGCAAUUGUUGAGAAAGGUUUGAUAAGAUGUUGGGAAAGAGGGAACCCGUAAGGGUGGUUAAGUCCGAGUUUUAGGGGAGAUGCUGUCGAAAUUUUAUAAAAAACUGAGGUUUUAUUUGAGAAGUCAUUUUAGAAAAUUUGAACUUGAAAAAUUAUAUUAUUUGAGUUUUAUCUAAAUAAGAGAAAAAUUAUACUAUUUUGAAUUUGGAAUUACCAAGAAAAGGUUUAUGUUUCAAGUUUGAAUUAUUUAAGAAAGGAAUUAUGUUGAGUUUGAUUCAUUAUGAAAAGGGUUAUGAUUUGGUCUUGAAAUAAAGGAUUACUUUUCAGGAGUUUGGUGAAUUUUAUAAUAUUUGAAUCCGAAUGAUAAAGAGAAAUGGUUUGAGCUAAGAUGUUGUAAAAGUGAAAGAUGUAUAGUUUGUAUAGUAUGAUUGAAUUUGAAUAGCAUAAGUGAACAGAGAAAGAAAGAGGUACUGCACAAGAAUGUGAAAGUGAAGAUGAAUAAUGAAAAUGAUAAUAAAUGAUGAUAAUGAGAAUGAUUAUAAGAUGAUCUGCUGCGUGAUGGCAGUCAGAUAGAUAGUGGUACGACCACAGAACCUUUUCCAGUGCUACACAGCUAUUGAGAGCUAUACCUGCAACUGAUAGACUGGGAUCACUUGUAGAGGAUAUUAAUUCGUACACGGCUAGAAUGUCGCACCUGUAACGCAAGGAUUGCUUACAGAGGAUAUGAUUUCAUACACGGUUGGAAUGCCGCAACCUGUAAGGCAGGGUCGGCUUACAGAGGAUAUGACGCAUAUGUCGGUUAGUGAGAACUGUACCUAUGCUGACUGGAAAACCAUACCCAUUUCAGCUGCUUCGGGUUACGUCGGGAGCGGGUAGAAACUAACAAAUGAGCUCAUUACCUGCACUAGGGCUAGACAUGCAUCAUCCUUAUUUGCGCAUUUGCAUUUGAUUGUGUUUGCUUGUCUUAUUUCUUUGUAAUUGUGCUGUUUGUCUUGUUGUAAUUUGUUUGAAUGUUCAAUUAAAUCUCUUGCUUGUACUUUUUGCUUCUGAAUGUUUUAAAAAGAUUAAUAAUUGACGUUGUGAUUGAGAACUAAUUAAGUGACUGAAAAAUGAUUGAUAUAAUUAAUCUUGUCAUUGGGAUCUGUUUUGAGUUUAGGAAGAGGCGAUCAAUUAGUUAAAGUAAAGCUAAGAGUAUAUCCAAAAGGUUUGAUGAAAUAUUGUUUCCUUAAGUAUGUUAAUUAUUUGUAUUUUAUUUCAUUACUUUUACGGCAUUCCCGUUCCCUACUGAGAACGUGUGGUUUGUUCUCACCCCAAAAAUCAUCCACCUUUUCAGUGACACAGGUUCGAAGACACAGUGUGAAGCUGCGGGCGAUUAUAGAAUUUAUUUAUGAGUUAAGUGUGAGUUAAUUUGCUUUCAUAGGGUUCCCUCGCCCUUAUUGCUUACGAUUUUUAUUUUAUACAGAGGGAUAGGAUUUGUAUCUGAGUUUUAUUUGAAAUCUUUUGUAUGACAGAUAUUAUUAUUAAUAAUUAUGUGAUUAUUACUACUUGGAAAUGUUUGAUAUAUGAUUUUGAUAAUCAAAAAUAAAAAUUUUUCUGGAAUUUUCCAUAAAACUAAAUCGUGAUAUCGAACUAAAGGCUCAAUAGUAAAUAGUUAAUAAAGGAAAGCAGGUUGGUAACGCCUUACUUUCGGUACGAUCAUGACGUUCUGGAAGUUGGGUCGUUACAAAUGGUAUCAGAGCAGUUCGUUCCUGUUAGAGCCUUGGGAAUGAACUGACUAUGCUUUAUUACAUACUCUGAGUGUCUGUCAUGCUUUGUGACUUGUUCUGGUAACAAGAGUUUGAGUUCUAUAUGCAUGACUGUCUGAUGAUUAACGCUGUUGGUUUACCAUUGCAUGCUUCAUGGUAUUAGGUCUGGCCAACUUAAUACUAAUGAUUUAUGUAUAUGGAAACACUAAUAGGUUAUCAUAGAUGAAAUAGAAGUUAUAAGUGAUGCGACUCACGGGGUUUGGGAGCGUUAGAGGUUAUUAAGUUAGCUUCGAUUCGAUGUAUAAUCUUUAUUCGUGCCACAUGAACUCGUGCCAUCCUUUUCUUUGUUGCUUUCAUUGGAAUUCUCUGGUUUGAAUUUCUUCCUUAGAAUGUGAUUUGAUUGUUUUCCAACCAUACCUUGUCAUUCUUUUAUACCUUUACUUGCCUUUGAAUCUGAUUGCUUACAUAACUCUUUGAAUGUUCAUCCUUGCCAAUGCCUAUACUUUUGUCCAUAUAUUCUGCUUUCUUUGAUUUUAGUUUGAACUUAUUUUAUUCUAGCAAUUUUCGAGGGCGAAAAUUUUUCUAACGUGGGUAGAAUGUAACAACCCUAGCUUUCGAAAAUCAAAUAACUAGUUAUUUGUGAUUUAUUAUAUUUGUUGAUAACUUUAUUUUAAGAAAAUUAUUUUACCAAAGGUAAUUAAAUACAUUUUCAUGAUAAUUGAAGUUAAAUUGAUUAGAAUUUUUAUAUAAUCUUUAUUGGAUAUAUGGUAUAAUUGAAAUUAUAAGUUUGAUAAUUGAAAAAUAAUAGAGAUUUGUAUGAUCUAAUCUAGAAAAUUGAUAUUUGAAUUUAAAUUGUACUUUACAAAAUAUAAUGAACUUGUUCAUUUUAUAAUGUAAAUUAGAAAUAAUUGAUUGAACUUAGCAAUAUGUUGAUAAAUAAUGUUCUUAAAUAUUUUUAAUAAAGUAUAUUUGGUUUUAAAAUUACUCUACCCUUCAAUUUUAUCAAAAUAUCUAUUCAUAUCUAUCCAUAUUCUUUUAUAAAAUCCCUAAUUCCUAAACCUAAAUUCCCAAAUUAAAUCAGAAACCCUAAUUCCCAAAUCCCAGAAACCCUAACCCUAAUUUUUCCCCCAUUUUCCCAGCCUCUGAACGUAGCCCCCAUCCCCUUUCUUCCUAAACCUAACGCUGAAACGGAAUCAGACAGGGAGAGAGGGAGGAAAUCAGAGUGUGAUCUAAGCAGCCACCAUUCAGUCGCCAGAGCCACCGCUGGGGGUCCUUUGCCGUCACUGUCGUCACCAUACACGCGAGUUGCAGCACUGCGAAGUCUAGCCAUCGUGACCUUCGUGGAGCCCGCGUCGCUGUCGCCUCCGCUGUUCCCACUGCCGCUGGAUCCAUCGCGCGUCGUCGCUGAGGAGCCACUGCUGCCAUUGCUCAUUGUCUCCCUUAGGGCCAUCACCGUAGCUGGAGCCAGCCGCCUCCAUCGCCGUUCAUCCUUGUCGUCGUCAUCGCCGUUCUGUGGAGGCCGAGAGAGGAGUUCGCGAGGGAGAAGAGGAAGCAGCGCUGCCCUUCGUCGCCGCUGCUGCCAAGGUUUGUGAAAGAGAGUGUCGUCGUCGUCGUGAGUGGAGUCCACCGUCCGAGCCGCCACUAGAGAGCGCCGCUGCUACCAUGUGUACAGAGAAGAGGAGCGCUGCAAGAAUCAAGGGAAGAAGAUGUUGUUCUGCCUCUGGUUCUGGGUUUUGGAAUCUGACAUAAGCGCCACUGCCGCUGUUGGAGUUUAUGUUGCUCUGGCCUUGCUCUGGCUCUAAUCUGAAUUGUUACUAUUGCUGUUUGGCUGAUGUUGAGGCCUUCCAUCAUCAUUGGAGCUUCCCAGAAUCAUCGUGGUUGCCGCCAAGAGAGCUGAAUGGGUGCUGGAAAUUGCUAAUGGAGCUGCUGUGCUUGGCGAUUUUUGUGAGUUUCGACAUUGAGGUAGGGGAUUUAUUUUUAAAGUUAAACAUUUUUAAUUUAGAAUGCCUACAAAGUUAUUGGAUAAGUGCAAAUGGUUAACAAUGGUUAAGAAUUUCUUAAUUAACAUGAAUGACUUGAAAUGCAUUUGAAAUUAGUUAGUCGUUUUGAUUAUUCUGAGCUGUGAUUGAACUUAGAUGAUGUUGUGAAUAAUGAUUAAUCUAGUGUAACUUAUUAAAUUGAAAUAUGCCGAGUUAUUUGUUGAAUAGCUGUUGAAUGGAUAAUUGAUGAAUUGAGUUUGGAUUGCUGCUGUGAAUGUAAUUGGUUUUGUUGUUAUGAGGGACUAAUUGAUAGAAAUAAGCUUGGUUUGAGGUUGUGAAAUUUGGAUUAAAUUUGAUGAUGUUUUAGUGUUUCAAAUGGAUUAUUGAAUUCAGGUUAUGGCUGUGAAUGUCUUUGGGCUUUGUUGUGAGUGUUUGAAGCUGUAAUUGAUAUUGUUUUCUCUGAUAUUGAUGGAAUUGUUGCAAAGUUCUGACUCUAUGUGAUUAUACUGAAUUAGUUGAGUUGUGUGGCUGAAAAUUAUGAUUGGAAUGAUUGAGAUUUUUUAUUGGAACUUUAGUUGAAUUCGUUGAUUUUGAGAAAUUGAAUUAAAAAUUGUUUGAUGAGAGAUUAUUGUGAUUUCGGUAUUUUGAUGGGUCAAAUUGAAAUUGUUGCUGUUGAGUUAUUUUACUGUAAUGGACUUAGUUAGUGAUUAAUUGAAGUUGGGCUUAAGGAAUAAUUGGAAGACUGAAUCUUAAAAUGUUGAAUUAAUUGCUGAAAAUAUGAUUUUUGAAAUUAAAAGAUGACUUUGGAAGUGAAUCAGUUAUUCAACAAUAAUCGAAAUGAUAUGAGAGUAAAGGCUGAGUAAACUAUAAUAAAAGUUGUUGCUGGGAUUCAAUUUUGAGAAGUUUGAAUUAACUAUAGAACUAGUUAUGAUUUUUCAAAGUUAAAAUGUAAAACUUGAUUUUCUGCAUUACUUUUAAAUGAAGCCAGAGACUUUGAAAAUCUAUAACUAAUUCUAUGAUGAUCGGAAUUGUAUGGGAUCAAGUCUGGAUUAAUCUUGGGAGUAUAGGAAGCUGGAAUGGAAAAUUUGAGACUUUUUCAUUAAGUUUAUGGUUUAUGGUGAAUUUUUGAAUUAUGAAUGUCAAAUCUGGUUUUCUGCAGAAAGCUUAACACAGCAGCAACUUGUUCCCUCUAUUACAUAUUCUCCAGUUUGAAUUUUGAAAUAGAACCAAUUUUAAAUGAAACUCUGGUCCUAGUACUUUAAUUUCAUAAAAAUUUAGAAUUGUUAGAGUUGUGGUUUUAAAGAUAUGGAUUUUUAAAUUAAGAUGUAUUAUGCAGUAAAAAUCAGAUUUUGUUUUCUAAGUUAGUAACUUUGAGACUUUAUAAUUUUUAAUUCUGGAAUGAUAUUGAGAUGCAAUCAAUUGGAGGUGAAAUUUGAGUAUGUUUAGUAUAUAUGAUUUAAAUUUCAGAGUUUUCCAUGUUUUAGUAAGUGAGUUAUGGGACUUGGAAGAGGUUGUGUUCAAUGAUUUGUAAAACAGACUUCAGCAGAAAAUUACCUAACUUCCAAGCUACGUAACUCCUUCAUUAAAAAUGGUAUGACCCUGGAACCAAUUGAGAAAGGAAUUUGGAUAAGUUAUGUUUAACCACAUUAAUUUUGAAGGUGGUUGGAUUUAAUUUGGAUUUUAUAUAAAAUUUUGAAUGUUGUAUGCUGCUGCUGUCUUUUGGUUUUAAGGCACUACAGAGCAGUCACGGUAUUGCUUAUAUUCCCGAAGCUAGAGUCCGUGAAAAAUUGUGAUUUUUAGUUUAAUAGAAAGUUUAAUCCGAGACGGUCACAUGGCUAUAAGGUUUGCGUAAUUCCGAAUUCGUUUGAUAUUUUAAAAAUAAAACUGAAAUUAGAUUGCCGAUGUUGUUUUGGUGAUUACUUGGAUAUGGAAUUUGAGAAAUAGAUUUUCUAUACUAUUAUCAAAUAUUUUUGAGAAUAUAUUAUUGUGGCAAUUGUUGAGAAAGGUUUGAUGAGAUGUUGAGAAAGAGUAAACCCGUAAGGGUGGUUAAGUCCGAGUUUUAGGGGAGAUGCUGUCGAAAUUUUAUAAAAACCUGAGGUUUUAUUUGAGAAGUCAUUUUACAAAAUAUGAACUUGAAAAAUUAUAUUAUUUGAGUUUUAUCUAAAUAAGAGAAGAAUUAUACUAUUUUGAAUUUAGAAUUACCAAGAAAAGGUUUGUGUUUCAAGUUUGAAUUAUUUAAGAAAGGAAUUAUGUUGAGUUUGAUUCAAUAUGAAAAGGGUUAUGAUUUGGGCUUGAAAUAAAGGAUUACUUUUCAGGAGUUUGGUCAAUUUUAUAAUAUUUGAUUCCGAAUGACAAGGAAAAAUGGUUUGAGCUAAGAUGUUGUAAAAGUGAAAGAUGUAAAGUUUGUAUAGUAUGAUUGAAUUUGAUUAGCAUAAGUGAACAGAGAAAAAAAGAGGUACUGCACAAGAAUGUGAAAGUGAAGAUGAACAAUGAAAAUGAUAAUAAAUAAUGAUAAUGAGAAUGAUUAUGCGAUGAUCUGCUGCGUGAAGGCAAUCAGAUAGAUAGUGGUACGACCACAGAACGUUUUCCAGUGCUACACAGCUAUUGAGAGCUAUACCUGCAACUGAUAGCCUGGGAUCACUUGCAGAGGAUAUUAAUUUGUACACGGCUAGAAUGCCGCACCUGUAACGCAAGGAUUGCUUAUAGAGGAUAUGAUUUCAUACACGGUUGGAAUGCCGCAACCUGUAAGGCAGGGUCUGCUUACAGAGGAUAUGACGCAUACGUCGGUUAGUGAGAACUGUACCUAUGCUGACUGGAAAACCAUACCCGUUUUAGCUGCUUUGGGUUACGUCUGGAGCGGGUAGAAACCGACAAAUGAGCUCAUUACCUGCACUUGGGCUAGACAUGCAUCAUCCUUAUUUGCGCAUCUGCAUUUGAUUGUGUUUGCUUGUCUUAUUUCUUUGUAAUUGUGCUGUUUGUCUUGUAAUUUGUUUGUAUGUUGAAUUAAAUCUCUUGCUUGUACUUUUAGUUUCUGAAUGUUUUAAAGAGAUUAAUAAUUGACGUUGUGAUUGAAAACUAAUUAAGUGACUGAAAAAUGAUUGAUAUAAUUAAUCUUGUCAUUGAGAUCUGUUUUGAGUUUAGGAAGAGGUGAUCAAUUAGUUAAAGUAAAGCUAAGAGUAUAUCCAAAAGGUUUGAUGAAAUAUAGUUUCCUUGAGUAUGUUAAUUAUUUGCAUUUUAUUUCAUUACUUUUACAGCAUUUUCGUUCCCUACUGAGAAUGUGCGGUUUGUUCUCACCCCAAAAAUCCUCCACCUUUUCAGUGACACAGGUUCAAAGACACAGUGUGAAGCUGCGGGCGAUUAUAGAAUUUAUUUAUAAGUUAAGUGUGAGUUAAUUUGCUUUCAUAGAGUUCCCUCGCCCUUAUUGCUUACGAUUUUUAUUUUAUACAGAGGGAUAGGAUUUGUAUCUGAGUUUUAUUUGAAAUCUUUUGUAUGACAGAUAUUAUUAUUAACAAUUAUGUGAUUAUUACUACUUGAAAAUGUUUG
rnacentral:lncRNA from 1 species